GCUGGGUGGCUGGCACUGAAAAUAUAUCUCUGUUCUGUGUUUAUGGUUAUCAUUUUUCAGUUGCCUCUUUCAGAGUGAACUUCAGAUUCAGUUUCAGCCUUACUGCUUUUUUCUAACACCGAUGAAUUUUUCUUCUAGCAGUCUUCAUUUUCCAGCACAAGAUCGAAGUCUUCAUUUUUCAGCACAAGAUCGAUGGUGCCACAGAGCGAGCCUGAUGAGUUCACUUGUCACGCUGGACCUUAGUUUGAUGAUCUAUAGGGUCUUUCAUCAUAAUUAGUUCCAUUCAACAAAGGUAAAGCAUGGGCGUGGGCAAGCGGCGGAGGCAAGAACGGCGGCGCAAGUGGCGGAGCGCCAGCGUGUUUUUGCAAGGUGAUCGGUUUUUUAGACAUCGAAGCUCUUGCUUUGGAAGGUUGUCACCAUCCCAACCUGGAUUUGAGGCUUAACUCCUUGCCCUCAAGUGCAACAAGCUCACCAGCCUAUAUCUCACUUGCACUAUUGGUGAGUGCUGCUGCUUUUCUGAUUUCUUCAGCUGUUCUAAUAGAUUACUGAAAAUCAUUUCUUCUAUUACUGUUAAUUUCAGGCUGUGCUGAUUCUCUUUUUUCCAUAGUUAGGUGAAUAUCUUGGUAUGCAUAGAUUAGUUCUCAUAAUCGCAUGAACAUAAAAAAAACUUCAAUUCUUAGGAUGACCAUCCACUCACUGUAUGGAACCGUAGCAUAUAACUUCUGUCAUUUUGUUUGUCUAUUGGUAGUCUUGGCCAGCCAUCCAGUACUACUAAAUAUAAUAGUAGACCCAUGAUUUGUGACUCAUAUCCUAUGUGGUACCAAGGUGUUAAAAGUACUGCUCUAUGUUCACAUAUUUGGACUUUCUUUUUGGCUCAAACAUGCUUCAUCACUACCUGUAUGA